rnacentral:snRNA from 1 species
GUGCUUUGGCAGUACAUAUACUAAAAUUGGAACGAUACGGAGAAGAUUAGCAUGGGGUUGCAAACGAAGUUUAGUGGAAGAGAAUUGCAAAAAAUAAUU